rnacentral:rRNA from 1 species
GCAUAUCAAUAAGCGGAGGAAAAGAAACUAACAAAGGAUUCCCCUAGUAACUGCGAGUGAAGCGGGAAAAGCUCAAAUUUAAAAUCUGGCGGUCCUUGCGGCCGUCCGAGUUGUAAUCUGGAGAAGCGCUAUCCGCGCCGGACCGUGUACAAGUCUCUUGGAAAAGAGCAUCAUAGAGGGUGAGAAUCCCGUCUUUGACACGGACUACCGGGGCUUUUGUGAUGUGCUUUCUACGAGUCGAGUUGUUUGGGAAUGCAGCUCAAAUCGGGUGGUAAAUUCCAUCUAAAGCUAAAUAUUGGCGAGAGACCGAUAGCGAACAAGUACCGUGAGGGAAAGAUGAAAAGAACUUUGGAAAGAGAGUUAAACCGUACGUGAAAUUGUUGAAAGGGAAACGCUUGAAGUCAGUCGCGUCUGCCGAGGAUCAACCUUGCUCUUUUGCUCGGUGCACUUCUCGGUGUGACGGGUCAGCAUCAAUUUUGAUUGCGGGAUAAAGUGCGGGGGAAUGUGGCAUCUUCGGAUGUGUUAUAGCCCUCGUUCGCAUGCCGCGGUUGGGAUUGAGGAACUCAGCACGCCUUUUUGGCCGGGGCUUCGGCUCACGUACGUGCUUAGGAUGCUGGCGUAAUGGCUUUAAUCGACCCGUCUUGAAACACGGACCAAGGAGUCUAACAUGCCCGCGAGUGUUUGGGUGGCAAACCCGGACGCGUAAUGAAAGUGAAAGUUGAGAUCCCCGUCGUAGGGAGCAUCGACGCCCGGACCAGACCUUCUGUGACGGUUCCGCGGUAGAGCGUGUAUGUUGGGACCCGAAAGAUGGUGAACUAUGCCUGAAUAGGGUGAAGCCAGAGGAAACUCUGGUGGAGGCUCGUAGCGUUCUGACGUGCAAACCG